CCCGAUUAUUUACAAAAUACUACAAUUAUGGGAAUAAAAUCAUAUAAAAGCAUAUAUAAAUAUAUGCUCUAUCAAAUAUCCCCACACUUAGUGUUUUGCACGUCCUCGGACAAAUAAAAUAAAUAAAACUAACACCUAAUAGAUAUAUACCACUUCCGUAGGUGAUCACGGUUGCAUUUGGCAUAUGCAACAAGCCCUUUAAACCCCUAGGCAGCCCUAGUGGACGAGUAAGGUCUCGUGAGGGCCUAUAGUGAAUGUACCCACAAAAUUCAUUUUUUUUUUCUUUGCCAAGUCUUAAGAAUGCAACUAAUAUGAAUGCAGACUAACUGAAUAUGCAUAGAUCCCAAUCAUGAAAUUAUCAACCUUGUCAACAUAUCUGCCAAGUCUUAAGAAUGCAACUAAUAUGAAUGCAAACUAAAUGAAUAUGCAUAGAUCCCAAUCAUGAAAUUAUCAACCUUGUCAACAUAUAAUCCUCAGAAUAUGCAACAAUCAAGGAUUUCAUCUAUCACACAUAUUAGUCAUGCAACUCUUUCACUGCAAGUACGGAGUGCAUCGUGUGUGCUCAACAUGCUCUCUAAUGAAACGAAAUAGAGACCAACAAAGUUCAACAGAAUCUUAACCAUGAGUCGUUAAUCAGAAUAAUGCUUAAACACUUCGUUACAUUAGAGCCAACUACAGUUUAGGGUCACCAAGGAACUUCCAUGCCUCUCCUAUAUAUGCUUCUCUUUUUUUUCUCUUUUUCUUUUUUUUUUUCAAUAUCUAUUAUUUGGUGUGUACAUGCUAAGACCAACAGACUUCAACAGAAUCUUAGCCAUGAGUCGUUAAUCAGAAUAAUGCUUAAACACUUCGUUACAUUAGAGUCAACUACAGUUUAGGGUCACCAAGGAACCGAGGAACUUCCAUGCCUCUCUUAUAUAUGCUCUUUUUUUUUCUUUUUUUCAAUAUCUAUUAUUUGGUGUGUACAUGCUCGGUCUAAGGUCGGGACGCUUCUCAGUGUAAAUGAGUUACGACCACCAUAAGACUUCACCAACCAAAUUGUUCACAUGCGGUUUAGGUGGCUUAUUUGACCGUGCGAUGGUUGAGAUCCCAAAAGAUUUAUGCACUAAUACCCAUUUAGCGAGUGUUGGGUCAGUAAUCCCAAACCAUGAAAGGCUUUAGGUUACUAGGCACAAAGUCCCUUCAGACUUAGUUACUCGAGUAUUAAUGAGCCCAACCUAGUCAAUUAUACCACCAUUUUUUUUUUCGUGAACUUUAUUGCUAAUACAUGUAUCUAUUUUCUCUCUCUAUUUUUUUUUUGAAAGGCAUGUAUAUCCAAAAGCUCCCCCUCACUUAAGAAUUAUAGACUCUAAGCUCAAAAGGGAAUAGUCAAAAUUCUACGCUCGGCUCAUCGUUAAGACUCAAGAAAUAAGCUAGUCUAAAUCUCGCUUCUAGAACAGUUAUUGUGUAAUUACAAGUUCCCGCACAAGCAAUUUCUAAGCAUGCAAGACAUCACAUAUGAUCAAGACUACUAACCAAGAAAUUAUGCAAUUAAACUCAUCAUAGGAAAUUGAUCGACUUGGUCGACAAACAUUCAUGGAAUUAUGCAA
rnacentral:lncRNA from 1 species